rnacentral:lncRNA from 1 species
UGAAUGUGACCACCAGCAACAAUUGAAGAAAUAAGUGAUGGAUCCAAAUAUAAUAAGAGCCAUAACCUUAUUUAUUAACCCUUGCCAAUCUCGAAUAGCACUUAAUAGCAGAAUCUUUAAACUUUAAUUCCCGCGGAAGCAUGCCUAGAAUUUCCCCAAAGGCAAAAAAACAGUGCAUCAAUCGAACACAACAACCAAAUUGCCAAAUAACUAGAGUGGAAGCAAAUUCUAGUUGUGAUUAAAGAAGCUUUAAGGAAAUCAUCAGAGGCAAUGGUUUAAAACAUAGAACUGGAACUUCAUUUUUACAGAUGCUAAAUGUCAAUGUGCUUAUAGACGCUAACUUUAGUGCACCAGCUCUUCUAUUUGAUUAACAAUUGUAAAAUCAAGCAACUUCUUAGUUAGUCAUGUAACUACUCAACAAAUCACAACCACAGUACUAACAAUGCAGAGUAUGCACCCAAAACGUGUAGAUAUGUGGCCUAAACAGUACAAGACAGGGCAAAUUCUAACAUGUCUCGCUGUCCGGACAAUUGUCUAAAAUACUGCAGGUGAUUGGCUCGAUUUAUUGCCCCAAAUCAAUUGUCUUCAGCAUCUCAAACGAGUGGAAGUUAUUAUGGCAGAAACAUUGCAGAUAGACUUUCGAACAAGGGAAGGAAAACAGAACAGAUACGAACACAUACGCUUAAUGAAACAAUUCGAUUUAGACAACAUUUAAACCAUGAUCUAAUAAGAAGAAAGUAUCGAGCAGCUCCAAAUAUACCCGUUGGUUGCACCUAGAUUCUAAUACGAGGGAUCAUACAAAGACAAGUUAAACAGUCCACUAAGCUUGCACCAAAGAGAGUGCAACAGAUUUACUCAUGCCACAAACUAGUAGCAAUCCAAAAUUUUCAAAUAAUUGAACUAAACGACAGUAUACGGAAGACAAUCAAGAAGAUUCUCAUGACAUAUUUCAUGUCGUGUCUCAUUAAAAGAACAUCAAACUAGUACACGAUGAGCUCGCGCUCACGUCCACAGUCACACAGUCCAUUCGAGCUUCAUUAAACAUGCCGAAUACUACUUCGACUAAGCCAUUUCAGCAAAGAAGCAAACAAAAUGUAUUCCCAUACCUCUUUGAGUUAAGGCUCAAAUUAUAUUUAGAUCCAAGGCAAAACAAGUAAGAUGAGAAGUACCUGAAAUUAGCCUUGUAAUUAAUAAAACUUCAGCAAUUACAGCGAAUGAUUCGAGCCAAGUCUAACAAAUCCGCAACAGGGAAUUUCAGCCAGAAUCACCAACGAGAAAUAAGAAACCUCGACCGGAAUCCACGACGAACAACAAUGACGACACACUCGAAACAAACUCCGCUCAGUCGAACUCCAUUUUCAGCAAAAAUUCAAGGAAGAGGACGAAAUAGUACUGGUGUUUCUCUUUUUUUAGAAUUUGUUUUUCGAAAUAUCACGAAGAAAAUAGAAAGAAGCCCCAACUUUCAGCCCAGUUUCUAAAUUUUAAAGGAUUGGUUUCUGAAAGCCUCAAACCCUCACUGCUUCUUCUCCCGUUUUUCCCGAAAAAUUUCCCAAAAAACCUCAAAAAAUUCAGUCUCAAAUGCUUCUCAUAUAUAUAUGAAGCCUAGAAGCUUCUAUUCUUCCUCCCCAAGAAUCGAAUCCGCGUGGACACCCAAAACAAAUCCGAAAAAUCCCAUUUUAACAAAAAUCAAAAAAUAGAAAUCUUGGAUAAAAAAUUAAUCCAACGACUCCCAUUUUUCAAAAUUUAUUUCAAGGGCUCGGAUUUGAUUCCAAAUCGAACGAAAAAGAAAGAAAAACACGUUCAUCAUGAUUAGGAACACAUGGAAGAAGGAGAUUAGAGUAGAGGGGGACCAGGGCUUACGUGGAACACUGGAAAAUAGAUUUUCCGGUGGGUUUAGGGCUGCUGGUCGCGGCAGACAUGGGGGUGGCGGCUGGUUUGGUUUGGGAUUAGGUUUAGGGUUUGGUUAAAAUUAAG